UCGAGGAUCAUUCGCAAUGAGCGAAAGCUUGACGAUGCGACGCUGUGUGAACGAUGAAGGCCUUCGGGUCGUAAAGUUCUUUCGCUUGGGAACAAGAGAGAUGCGUGAAUAACGCGUUGAUUUGAGGGUACCAGGUAAAGAAGCACCGGCUAACUCCGUGCCAGCAGCUGCGGUAAUACGGAGGGUGCAAGCAUUAAUCGGAUUUAUUGGGCGUAAAGGGCGCGUAGGCGGAAUUAUAAGUCAGAUGUGAAAUUCCUAGGCUCAACCUAGGAGCUGCAUUUGAAACUGUAAAUCUUGAGGAUUGGCGGAGAAAAUGGAAUUCCACGUGUAGCGGUGAAAUGCGUAGAUAUGUGGAAGAACAUCGGUGGCGAAAGCGGUUUUCUAGCUUAUACCUGACGCUGAGGCGCGAGAGCAAGGGGAGCAAACAGG
rnacentral:rRNA from 1 species